rnacentral:rRNA from 1 species
GUUGUAUGGUUAAGUGACUAAGCGUACACGGUGGAUGCCUUGGCAGUCAGAGGCGAUGAAAGACGUAGUAACUUGCGAUAAGCCCAGAUUAGGUAGUAACAACCAUUUGAGUCUGGGAUUUCUGAAUGGGGAAACCCACGUGCAUAAGCACGUAUCCUUACCUGAAUACAUAGGGUAAGGAGGCGAACCGGGGGGAACUGAAACAUCUAAGUACCCCGAGGAAAAGAAAUCAACCGAGAUUCCGAAAGUAGCGGCGAGCGAAAUUGGACUAGCCCUUAAGCUUUACACGCGUUAGACGAACGGUCUGGAAAGUCCGACGAUACAGGGUGAUAGUCCCGUAGUUGACGACGUGUGUUCAGUGAAAUCGAGUAGGGCGGGACACGUGAUAUCCUGUCUGAAUAUGGGGGGACCAUCCUCCAAGGCUAAAUACUACUGACUGACCGAUAGUGAACCAGUACCGUGAGGGAAAGGCGAAAAGAACCCCCUGUGAGGGGAGUGAAAUAGAACCUGAAACCGUGUACGUACAAGCAGUAGGAGCAGGCUUUGUCCUGUGACUGCGUACCUUUUGUAUAAUGGGUCAGCGACUUAUAUUCAGUGGCAAGGUUAACCAUCUAGGGGAGCCGUAGGGAAACCGAGUCUUAACUGGGCGUUCAGUCUCUGGAUAUAGACCCGAAACCAGGUGAUCUAGCCAUGGGCAGGUUGAAGGUUGAGUAACAUCAACUGGAGGACCGAACCGACUAAUGUUGAAAAAAUUAGCGGAUGACUUGUGGCUAGGGGUGAAAGGCCAAUCAAACCUGGAGAUAGCUGGUUCUCCCCGAAAGCUAUUUAGGUAGCGCCUCGGACGAAUACUACUGGGGGUAGAGCACUGUUAAGGCUAGGGGGUCAUCCCGACUUACCAACCCUUUGCAAACUCCGAAUACCAGUAAGUACUAUCCGGGAGACACACGGCGGGUGCUAACGUCCGUCGUGGAGAGGGAAACAACCCAGACCGCCAGCUAAGGUCCCAAAUUACUACUAAGUGGGAAACGAUGUGGGAAGGCUCAGACAGCCAGGAUGUUGGCUUAGAAGCAGCCAUCAUUUAAAGAAAGCGUAAUAGCUCACUGGUCGAGUCGGCCUGCGCGGAAGAUGUAACGGGGCUAAGUAGUAAACCGAAGCUGCGGCAAUAUACUUUUGUAUAUUGGGUAGGGGAGCGUUCUGUAAGCGGUUGAAGGUGUGUGGUAACGCAUGCUGGACGUAUCAGAAGUGCGAAUGCUGACAUGAGUAACGAUAAAGGGGGGUGAAAAAACCUCCUCGCCGGAAGACCAAGGGUUCCUGUCCAACGUUAAUCGGGGCAGGGUAAGUCGACCCCUAAGGCGAGGCCGAAAGGCGUAGUCGAUGGGAAACGGGUUAAUAUUCCCGUACUUCUUACAAUUGCGAUGGGGGGACGGAGAAGGCUAGGUGGGCCUGGCGACGGUUGUCCAGGUUCAAGUGCGUAGGCUUAAGAGUUAGGUAAAUCCGGCUCUUUUUAAGGCUGAGACACGACGUCGAGCACCUACGGGUGUGAAGUCAUUGAUGCCAUGCUUCCAGGAAAAGCCUCUAAGCUUCAGAUUGUAAGGAAUCGUACCCCAAACCGACACAGGUGGUCGGGUAGAGAAUACCAAGGCGCUUGAGAGAACUCGGGUGAAGGAACUAGGCAAAAUGGUACCGUAACUUCGGGAGAAGGUACGCUCUUGAUGGUGAAGUCCCUCGCGGAUGGAGCUGACGAGAGUCGCAGAUACCAGGUGGCUGCAACUGUUUAUUAAAAACACAGCACUGUGCAAAAUCGUAAGAUGACGUAUACGGUGUGACGCCUGCCCGGUGCCGGAAGGUUAAUUGAUGGGGUUAGACUUCGGUCGAAGCUCUUGAUCGAAGCCCCGGUAAACGGCGGCCGUAACUAUAACGGUCCUAAGGUAGCGAAAUUCCUUGUCGGGUAAGUUCCGACCUGCACGAAUGGCGUAAUGAUGGCCACGCUGUCUCCACCCGAGACUCAGUGAAAUUGAAAUCGCUGUGAAGAUGCAGUGUACCCGCGGCUAGACGGAAAGACCCCGUGAACCUUUACUACAGCUUGGCACUGAACAUUGACCCUACAUGUGUAGGAUAGGUGGGAGGCUUUGAAGCAUGUACGCCAGUAUGUGUGGAGCCGUCCUUGAAAUACCACCCUUGUAGUGUUGAUGUUCUAACGUCGACCCCUUAUCGGGGUUGCGGACAGUGCCUGGUGGGUAGUUUGACUGGGGCGGUCUCCUCCCAAAGAGUAACGGAGGAGCACGAAGGUGGGCUAAUCACGGUUGGACAUCGUGAGGUUAGUGCAAUGGCAUAAGCCCGCUUGACUGCGAGAAUGACAAUUCGAGCAGGUGCGAAAGCAGGUCAUAGUGAUCCGGUGGUUCUGAAUGGAAGGGCCAUCGCUCAACGGAUAAAAGGUACUCCGGGGAUAACAGGCUGAUACCGCCCAAGAGUUCAUAUCGACGGCGGUGUUUGGCACCUCGAUGUCGGCUCAUCACAUCCUGGGGCUGAAGUCGGUCCCAAGGGUAUGGCUGUUCGCCAUUUAAAGUGGUACGCGAGCUGGGUUUAGAACGUCGUGAGACAGUUCGGUCCCUAUCUGCCGUGGGCGUUGGAAGAUUGAAGGGGGCUGCUCCUAGUACGAGAGGACCGGAGUGGACGAACCUCUGGUGUUCGGGUUGUGUCGCCAGACGCAUUGCCCGGUAGCUAAGUUCGGAAUCGAUAACCGCUGAAAGCAUCUAAGCGGGAAGCGAGCCCUGAGAUGAGUCUUCCCUGAUACUUUAAGUAUCCUAAAGGGUUGUCGGAGACUACGACGUUGAUAGGUCAGGUGUGUAAGUGCUGUGAGGCAUUGAGCUAACUGAUACUAAUUGCCCGUGAGGCUUAACCAUACAACACCCAAGGGGUUU